UAGGUUGAGGAGACCGUGGCGGUGGAGGAGGAGGAUGAGGUAGCCAACACUGUUUUUUAUAUAUAUAUAUAUAUAUAUAUAUUUUUAAUUGGGGUAGCCCCCAAAAUAUUGGGACAUAUAAAAAAAGACAACUCUGUUCCGCAGAGUAGCAGUUGACAUUAUAACUGUGCAGGCACUUUGUUUACUCUAGAGAACCUCGGGCCAAUCGUACAUCCCCGUGGCGGCGACUUUGCACGCGGAUGUCAUCCAUAUCAACUUUUGAUGCCAGUUUCUGCGCCUACCAUGGUGACCACGGGUAACAGGGAAUCAGGGUUCCAUUCCGUACAGGGACCCUGAGAAACGGCUACCACAUGCAAGGAAGGCAGCAGGCGGGCAAAUGACCCACUCCCGAUGACAAAUAACAAUACAGGACUCUUUAGAGGUCCUGUAAUGAGUCCACUUGAAAUCCUUUAACUCUGAUCAAUUGGAGGGAAGUCUGGUGCAAAGCCACUGACCCGUGCGUGUUGCAGCUGAAACUCCACUA